UACGUAGGGUGCAGGCGUUAAUCGGAAUUACUGGGCGUAAAGCGUGCGCAGGCGGUUUGCUAAGACAGGUGUGAAAUCCCCGGGCUUAACCUGGGAACUGCGCUUGUAACUGGCAAGCUAGAGUGUGGCAGAGGGGGGUGGAAUUCCAGGUGUAGCAGUGAAAUGCGUAGAGAUCUGGAGGAACACCGAUGGCGAAGGCAGCCCCCUGGGCUAACACUGACGCUCAUGCACGAAAGCGCGGGGAGCAAACAGG
rnacentral:rRNA from 1 species